AACGCAUCUUGCGCUCUUUGGUAUUCCAAAGGGCAUGCCUGUUUGAGUGUCAUUAAAUUCUCAAAGCAAGGUUUACUUGUGGACCUUUGCUUUGGACUUGAAGAUUGCUGGCUUUUAACAAAGUUAGCUUCUUUGAAAUACAUUAGUGAGGUGUAUCUUUCACUUGGUGUGAUAAGUUAUCUAUGCCUUGGAGAUAGAUAUGGACUUGCUUAUAACCCGUUUUACCUUUUGACCUUUGACCUCAAAUCAGGUAAGACUACCCGCUGAACUUAA
rnacentral:misc_RNA from 1 species